rnacentral:rRNA from 1 species
AAUCAACGCUGGCGGCGUGCCUAACACAUGCAAGUCGCGCGCGAAAGGGGGGCAACCCCCGAGUAAAGCGGCGAACGGGUGAGUAACACGUGGGUAAUCUACCUUCGAGUGGGGAACAACAUCGGGAAACUGGUGCUAAUUCCGCAUGACAUCGUCGGGGCUUCGGUUCCGACGCUCAAAGCUGGGGAUCGUAAGACCUAGCGCUUGAAGAUGAGCCCGCGUCCGAUUAGCUAGUUGGCGGGGUAAUAGCCCACCAAGGCUCCGAUCGGUAGCCGGCCUGAGAGGGCGGACGGCCACACUGGAACUGAGACACGGUCCAGACUCCUACGGGAGGCAGCAGUGGGGAAUUUUUCGCAAUGGGGGCAACCCUGACGAAGCAACGCCGCGUGGGGAUGAAGGUCUUCGGAUUGUAAACCCCUGUCGACCGGGACGAAUGUAGAACGGCCUAAUACGCCGAGCUAUUGACUGUACCGGUGGAGGAAGCCACGGCUAACUCUGU